GACGAACGCUGGCGGCGUGCUUAACACAUGCAAGUCGAACGGAAAGGCCCUGCUUUUGUGGGGUGCUCGAGUGGCGAACGGGUGAGUAACACGUGAGUAACCUGCCCUUGACUUUGGGAUAACUUCAGGAAACUGGGGCUAAUACCGGAUAGGAGCUCCUGCUGCAUGGUGGGGGUUGGAAAGUUUCGGCGGUUGGGGAUGGACUCGCGGCUUAUCAGCUUGUUGGUGGGGUAGUGGCUUACCAAGGCUUUGACGGGUAGCCGGCCUGAGAGGGUGACCGGCCACAUUGGGACUGAGAUACGGCCCAGACUCCUACGGGAGGCAGCAGUAGGGAAUAUUGCACAAUGGGCGGAAGCCUGAUGCAGCAACGCCGCGUGCGGGAUGACGGCCUUCGGGUUGUAAACCGCUUUCGCUUGUGACGAAGCGUGAGUGACGGUAAUGGGUAAAGAAGCACCGGCUAACUACGUG
rnacentral:rRNA from 1 species